UACGUAGGUCCCGAGCGUUGUCCGGAUUUAUUGGACGUAAAGCGAGCGCAGGUGGCUUAUUAAGUCUGGUGUAAAAGGCAGUGGCUCAACCAUUGUAUGCAUUGGAAACUGGUAGACUUGAGUGCAGGAGAGGAGAGUGGAAUUCCAUGUGUAGCGGUGAAAUGCGUAGAUAUAUGGAGGAACACCGGUGGCGAAAGCGGCUCUCUGGCCUGUAACUGACACUGAGGCUCGAAAGCGUGGGGAGCAAACAGG
rnacentral:rRNA from 1 species